CUUGGCGGUGUUAGGAACGUUCACUGUUCUUUGGUGGCCAUAUCUUUAUUCUGUGGAAGCACCUUUCGAGGUUCUGUCCCGCCUAGCUCCUUUUGAGAGGGGCAUAUAUGAGGAUUAUGUGGCUAACUUCUGGUGUACCACUUCAGUCAUUGUGAAGUGGAAGAGGUUGUUCAGUACUCAAGCACUAAGAAUUCUAAGUCUUGUUUCAACUGUUUCCACGUGUCUGCCCUCAAUGCUGCUGUUAAUAUUGGCACCGAGCAGAAGAAACUUCCUCUUUGGACUGCUCAGCAGUUCUUUAUCAUUCUACUUCUUCUCAUUUCAAGUUCAUGAGAAAUCUAUUCUGCUGCCUCUUCUUCCAGCAAGCUUCUUGGCGAUUGAUGAACCUCUUAUAUUUCGCUGGCUAACAUAUUUUGCCUUGCUCUCUAUGUUCCCUCUUC
rnacentral:misc_RNA from 1 species